GACGAACGCUGGCGGCGUGCUUAACACAUGCAAGUCGAACGGAAAGACCCUGCUUUUGUGGGGUGCUCGAGUGGCGAACGGGUGAGUAACACGUGAGUAACCUGCCCUUGACUUUGGGAUAACUUCAGGAAACUGGGGAUAAUACCGGAUAGGAGCUCCUGCUGCAUGGUGGGGGUUGGAAAGUUUCGGCGGUUGGGGAUGGACUCGCGGCUUAUCAGCUUGUUGGUGGGGUAGUGGCUUACCAAGGCUUUGACGGGUAGCCGGCCUGAGAGGGUGACCGGCCACAUGAGGACUGAGAUACGGCCCAGACUCCUACGGGAGGCAGCAGUGGGGAAUAUUGCACAAUGGGCGGAAGCCUGAUGCAGCAACGCCGCGUGCGGGAUGACGGCCUUCGGGUUGUAAACCGCUUUCGCCUGUGACGAAGCGUUAGUGACGGUAAUGGGUAAAGAAGCACCGGCUAACUACGUG
rnacentral:rRNA from 1 species